GGCCGGUUUUGUCGCGUCUGCUGUGAAAACCCGAAGGCUCAACCUCGGGCCUGCAGUGGGUACGGGCAGACUAGAGUGCGGUAGGGGAGAUUGGAACUCCUGGUGUAGCGGUGGAAUGCGCAGAUAUCAGGAAGAACACCGAUGGCGAAGGCAGAUCUCUGGGCCGUAACUGACGCUGAGGAGCGAAAGGGUGGGGAGCAAACAGGCUUAGAUACCCUGGUAGUCCACCCCGUAAACGUUGGGAACUAGUUGUGGGGUCCAUUCCACGGAUUCCGUGACGCAGCUAACGCAUUAAGUUCCCCGCCUGGGGAGUACGGCCGCAAGGCUAAAACUCAAAGGAAUUGACGGGGACCCGCACAAGCGGCGGAGCAUGCGGAUUAAUUCGAUGCAACGCGAAGAACCUUACCAAGGCUUGACAUAUAGAGGAAACGUCUGGAAACAGUCGCCCCGCAAGGUCUCUAUACGGGUGGUGCAUGGUUGUCGUCAGCUCGUGUCGUGAGAUGUUGGGUUAAGUCCCGCAACGAGCGCAACCCUCGUUCUAUGUUGCCAGCACGUAAUGGUGGGAACUCAUGGGAUACUGCCGGGGUCAACUCGGAGGAAGGUGGGGAUGACGUCAAAUCAUCAUGCCCCUUAUGUCUUGGGCUUCACGCAUGCUACAAUGGCCGGUACAAAGGGCUGCAAUACCGUAAGGUGGAGCGAAUCCCAAAAAGCCGGUCCCAGUUCGGAUUGAGGUCUGCAACUCGACCUCAUGAAGUCGGAGUCGCUAGUAAUCGCAGAUCAGCAACGCUGCGGUGAAUACGUUCCCGGGUCUUGCACACACCGCCCGUC
rnacentral:rRNA from 1 species